AGCUUGCUCCUGAUUGAUAAACAUUUGAGUGAGUGGCGGACGGGUGAGUAACACGUGGGUAACCUGCCCUAAAGUGGGGGAUAACAUUUGGAAACAGAUGCUAAUACCGCAUAAAACCUAACACCGCAUGGUGUAGGGUUGAAAGAUGGUUUCGGCUAUCACUUUAGGAUGGACCCGCGGUGCAUUAGUUAGUUGGUGAGGUAAAGGCUCACCAAGACCGUGAUGCAUAGCCGACCUGAGAGGGUAAUCGGCCACACUGGGACUGAGACACGGCCCAGACUCCUACGGGAGGCAGCAGUAGGGAAUCUUCCACAAUGGACGAAAGUCUGAUGGAGCAACGCCGCGUGAGUGAAGAAGGUUUUCGGAUCGUAAAACUCUGUUGUUGGAGAAGAAUGUAUCUGAUAGUAACUGAUCAGGUAGUGACGGUAUCCAACCAGAAAGCCACGGCUAACUACGUGCCAGCAGCCGCGGUAAUACGUAGGUGGCAAGCGUUGUCCGGAUUUAUUGGGCGUAAAGCGAGCGCAGGCGGUUUCUUAAGUCUGAUGUGAAAGCCUUCGGCUCAACCGAAGAAGUGCAUCGGAAACUGGGAAACUUGAGUGCAGAAGAGGACAGUGGAACUCCAUGUGUAGCGGUGAAAUGCGUAGAUAUAUGGAAGAACACCAGUGGCGAAGGCGGCUGUCUGGUCUGUAACUGACGCUGAGGCUCGAAAGCAUGGGUAGCAAACAGGAUUAGAUACCCUGGUAGUCCAUGCCGUAAACGAUGAGUGCUAGGUGUUGGAGGGUUUCCGCCCUUCAGUGCCGCAGCUAACGCAUUAAGCACUCCGCCUGGGGAGUACGACCGCAAGGUUGAAACUCAAAGGAAUUGACGGGGGCCCGCACAAGCGGUGGAGCAUGUGGUUUAAUUCGAAGCAACGCGAAGAACCUUACCAGGUCUUGACAUCCUUUGACCACUCUAGAGAUAGAGCUUUCCCUUCGGGGACAAAGUGACAGGUGGUGCA
rnacentral:rRNA from 1 species